UACAGAGGUCUCAACCGUUGUUCGGAUUCAUUGGGCGUAAAGGGUUCGUAGGCGGUCGCGUAAGUCAGGUGUGAAAUCUCAGGGCUCAACCCUGAAACUGCACUUGAUACUGCGUGGCUCGGGUACUGGAGAGGAGACUGGAAUUUACGGUGUAGCAGUGAAAUGCGUAGAUAUCGUAAGGAAGACCAGUGGCGAAGGCGAGUCUCUGGACAGUUACCGACGCUGAGGCACGAAGGUCAGGGGAGCAAACGGG
rnacentral:rRNA from 1 species